GAUGAAGAACGUAGCGAAAUGCGAUACUUGGUGUGAAUUGCAGAAUCCCGUGAACCAUCGAGUCUUUGAACGCAAGUUGCGCCCGAAGCCAUCAGGUUGAGGGCACGUCUGCCUGGGCGUCACAUAUCGUUGCUCGAUGCCUAUCGCAUUGCGAUAGGACUUAGGGCGAAUGAUGGCUUCCCGUGAGCGUUGUUGCCUCGCGGUUGGUUGAAAAUCGAGUCCUUGGUAGGGUGUGCCAUGAUAGAUGGUGGUCGAGUUGGCACGAGACCGAUCAUGUGCAUGCUCCCCAAAAUAUGGCCUCUGUGACCCACACGCGUCUUUUGACGCUCAUGACGAGACCUCAGGUCAGGCGGGGCUACCCGCUGAAUUUAAGCAUAUCAAUAAGCGGAGGA
rnacentral:misc_RNA from 1 species